UAAUACGGAGGGUGCAAGCAUUGAUCGGAAUUACUGGGCGUAAAGGGCGCGUAGGCGGCUGUAAAAGUCAGAUGUGAAAUUCCGGGGCUCAACCCCGGAGCUGCAUUUGAAACUCUACAGCUAGAGUACAGUUAGGGAAAACGGAAUUCCACGUGUAGCGGUGAAAUGCGUAGAUAUGUGGAAGAACACCGGUGGUGAAGACGGUUUUCUGGGCUGUAACUGACGCUGAGGCGCGAAAGCUAGGGGAGCAAACAGG
rnacentral:rRNA from 1 species